rnacentral:snRNA from 1 species
GUGCUUGCUUCGGCAGCACAUAUACUAAAAUUGGAACAAUACAGAGAAGAUUAACAUGGCUCCUGAGCAAGGAUGACAUGCAAAUUCAUGAAGCGUUCUAUAUUUUU